rnacentral:tRNA from 1 species
GGGUCGGUACCCGAGUGGCCAAAGGGGGCAGUCUGUAAAACUGCUGCGAAAGCUACGCUGGUUCGAAUCCAGCCCGGCCCACCA